ACCGCCCGUCAAAGCACCCGAGUGGGGUCCGGAUGAGGCCGUCAUGCGACGGUCGAAUCUGGGCUCCGCAAGGGGGCUUAAGUCGUAACAAGGUAGCCGUAGAGGAAUCUGCGGCUGGAUCACCUCCU
rnacentral:rRNA from 1 species